rnacentral:rRNA from 1 species
GGGUUGUGAGGUUAAGCGACUAAGCGUACACGGUGGAUGCCCUGGCAGUCAGAGGCGAUGAAGGACGUGCUAAUCUGCGAAAAGCGUCGGUAAGGUGAUAUGAACCGUUAUAGCCGGCGAUGUCCGAAUGGGGAAACCCAGUGUGAUUCGUCACACUAUCGUUAACUGAAUACAUAGGUUAACGAGGCGAACCGGGGGAACUGAAACAUCUAAGUACCCCGAGGAAAAGAAAUCAACCGAGAUUCCCCCAGUAGCGGCGA